CUACGGAGGGUGCAAGCGUUAAUCGGAAUUACUGGGCGUAAAGGGCGCGUAGGCGGUCUAUCAAGUCAGGUGUGAAAUCCCACGGCUCAACCGUGGAGGUGCAUCUGAAACUGAUAGACUUGAGUAUGGGAGAGGAAAGUGGAAUUCCCGGUGUAGAGGUGAAAUUCGUAGAUAUCGGGAGGAACACCAGUGGCGAAGGCGACUUUCUGGACCAAUACUGACGCUGAGGCGCGAAAGCGUGGGGAGCAAACAGGAUUAGAAACCCCAGUAGUCC
rnacentral:rRNA from 1 species